rnacentral:lncRNA from 1 species
UUGGUUCCUUCAAGCUUAACUUAAGAAUAAGAAAAUUUGAACAAACAAAUGGGGAAUACCAAAGUUCAUAGAAACACAAUUAAACCUCACAAUAAAGAUCCAUGCAAUUAACAAAACCAAAGUUUACGGUAAAACGAGAGCCACCAAAAGUAAAACCAUACUUAAAACAUAAAAACAAUAAUAAUAAAAAAAUAACAAAUAAAAAUCUAAUACUACUCAAAACAAAGUCUUCAAUCCUCCUCAUCAACUCCACCACCUACGGACCCAAUAACAUCUUCCAUGUCUUCAUCAUGGCCCGCAACACUAGCUCGACCACUACCUCC